GUGGAAAAUUCCCCUAGGGCUCAGGCUGUGAGAAACAUCCUGCCGGGCAAGUCCUAAGCCCAACCGCCUGAUCUCAGGAAAUUCCUCACUUAGCAACAGCUAACCACCCUGCCCACCCCACUUCACAACAAGCCCAGAUCUCUCCCACCCGGACCUAAACUUACCCAGUCUGUAAGCGGGGGCGGGCUCUGGCCUUAGUUGGUGUCCCCCUCCGCGGGUGUUUGUUCGGUAAACCUGUGUUGCUGUAGAGCCGCCUCCGUCCGUUUUUCCUCCCGUUCCUGCGCUAACAAUGACAUUAUACCAAAUGUAACUGGUUCCUUAAUUAAAGAUAACGUUUAAUCUGUUACCAAAGUCAUAUAUGACUUUUUGAACAGUUCUGUCAGUGGCACCUACAAGACAUACUUAACAUUAAAUAGAACGACAAGAUAAUCAAUUACAAGGUCUUGGAAACAAACCAACACACAAACCCAGAGGUGAUUUUACAAAUACACCUGUAGCAAGCUGGACAAAUGCCAGAGUUAAAUAACAACAGAAUAGUUAAGGAAACGCUUUGAAUGGAGACUCUUAACUCAAUGGACCAGAAUCUGGUGGUGGCACGUGAGAUCAAUUUGAGGGUCAUGAUGAGACCAAAAGUUGGAGUCCUAAGACAGAGACUGUGGGAGACAUGCAGUCCAAAUACGAUUAUAAUUUAAUAAAACCCUAGGAGCGAAAAAAGUUUCAAGAAGUAUUUAGGAGGAAAAACAAUAGACACUGGCGACUGGUUGCAAAAACAUUGAGGUUUUUCACUCAUUGACAUUCAAAAACUCAAGAUCUUCUAACCCAUUUACUCUCUUUUCUGGACGUGAGACAAAUCCUCCCACAUUGUGCAGGAAGUCUUUGUGUGGCAUUCAUGAAGUUACUACAAUGGAGAAGAAUAUCGAGGUUCAAAAUAGAUUGAUGUGUCUCUUGAUUCAGUCUUCUUCAGUGCUUAAUUUACAUAUGGUCUUCUUGCCUUAACUAAGGGAAGUGAUAGAGCUUUCUGUGUCAAAUAAAAUCAGUUGUAUUUUCAUAGUGCCUAUUAAAUUUGACAGGUAAAGAGAUGAUGCUUUCAGAAUAAAGGAAGAGAAGUCUAGGGCAUUGAAUCCUAAAAUGACCUCUAGAGUACAGCUGAACAAUAUCAUAUAACUUUAUUUUUGUACCUAAUAAAGUAGAAAGAUCUGCUGAGGUGUUUUUUAUUACAUUAUGAUUUAUAAUCAGCAUCAUUUGCUUGCUUCUGUGACAACAGAAUUUUCCUUCUACCCUUUCACUCUUAACAUCUAAGCUGCUUGAUCUAUUGUACAUCAUUUUGUCUUUUAAUAACCAAUCACAAACUUAGUCUUAGCCAUAAGUCUAACUUUUAUCCUUAAAAAAAUUUACUAAAGGUAGACUGUCAUCAUGGUCACAUUAAUUGUAAUGUUCUUGCCUAUAAUUACUUUUUCUCUUAUUACUACUAGAAAAUUUAUCUGAAAUUUGGAAAUAGGCAAAAGACAUUACUAGGCAUGUUGUCAGUGCAAUCCUGGACUUUAUUUUGUCUUGGCUAGGCCAUUUUACAACUUGGUAGGGCAUUUAAUUUAUAGAUUUUUGGCUAGGAUAAAGACAAAUUAUUUUGGUUAAGCAAAACAUACAAUCCCAGAUAUAUAAUUUUUUUUACCUUGUUGUAUUAUAAUCAUUGAUGUAGCUUACCCAGCAAUCUGAUCCUCCUGUACUCAAGCUUCUCAAAUGCUUUUUGAGUUGGUUUUAAGCUCUCGCUAUUUCCUUCAUUAUAUAGUUGAAUAAAAUCUUAUAACCUGUGUUCUUGUUUAUGUGCAUGAGAGUCUUAAUUGUAUCCUUUAAAAAUAUAUUUUGACAAUAUUGCUCAUUAAGCUACAAGCUCUAUGAGAAUAGUGUAAAAUUGUUUUUAAAAAUCUUAACGUUUAAGAUAAUAUCUCUUAGUCUAGUGAUAUAUAUGUCCUUAAUUACAUAAAUAAAUAUGUUAAGUGUAAUAUGAGGAAAGUGUAAUGUAAAUUAUAUACUUGUAUUUAUCAUCGUGGUACAGACUGUGUAAAAUUACUGCAAUCAAUUCUAGGUAUCACAGCAAUCAUUUCAUGACACAGUGAAGUUUCCAGAAACAAUAACAUUAAGAACUCCAGUUGCUAAAUCGUGUAAAGAAACAUAAACAGCAAAAACAUAACAUGAUUUGUUGAUGUGUAUAUGAGUACAGAUGUACAGCCACAGAAAAGUAGAUAUGUACACUGUGGUAUAUUCACACAGUGGAGUGUUAUACAACAAAAUACAUAUGAAUGUUCACAAAUCUAUUUUUUCUAAAUGCUCCAUUAAUUCAUAUGCAUAUGUAUAAGUAAUAUACAAUAAGAAAGAGAAAUUACUGCUUUGUUUUCUAAAUACUGAAUAGAUUAUUUAUGUUAUUCUGAAGUGCAAUGGUUAGUUACGUAUAUGAAUGUGGUAUAAUGACCUUAUAUCAAAAUGAGGUCCAGAACUCUAUGUGUAUCGUUCCAAUACUGAGAAUCAUCCAUAGAAGACUGAAUAUUAAGUCAUUUUCUAGAUAAAAUAUUGCUUUAUUAAAAUGAUUGUUCUAGUGAUAUAAGCAUUACACAUGUAUAUAUGUUAUAUAUACCAUAUAACUAUGUAACGUUGCAACACUUAGGCUGAAACAAACUAUUUAAUAAUAUUUUAAUGAUGAAAUCAGUGCAAAUAUGACAACUAUCCAAUGGAGAAAACGUAAAUUCAGAGGCACUCUCCUAUGUUGGAAACUGUGGCUAGACCUUCACAGGAAAGGAAAUAUGUGAAGUUAGAUGUUCGGCCUUAUUAGUAAUUAGAAAAAUGUUUAAAAUUAACCUGAGAUUCAAUUUUCCAAUCAUUUAACUGAUAGAAAAACCUAUAAAUUAAAAAUGAAAUAUGUCAAUAAUAAGCAUUGGAAAUGAUGUGGAUUUACAAAUUACGUGGGGUACAAAUUGGUAUAAACACUUUGGAAAAGACUUUGGCAUUAACCGCUUAAGUUGAACAUUCAUAUACCUUAUAACCAAGCACUUCAAAUUCUAGGCAUAUGUAUGUGAAUACUCUUUCACAUGUUUAGUAGAAGAUGUGUAAAUGGCUGUUCACAGAACCAGAUCACAGAACACACCAGAGUUCUCUAAUAUGAACACUGUGAUAUAUUUAUACAAUAGAAUGUUACAUAACAAAGAAAACAAAUGAACUACGUAGCAUGGGACAACAUGGAGGAAGCUUGAGCAUAUACAAUUAAAUUAAAAAUUAAGUCACCAAAAGAUGGCUUUUUAUUAAUAUAAUAAUAUUUAAAACCUCAUGUAUUUUUCAAGAUUACACAUAGAUACAGUAAGUCUUUUAACAAAGGCAAGAAGAUGGAAUGCAUAGAGCGUGUGUCUGGAUGUAGGUUUUUGUAGGAGUCCUAAUUUUUGUUUUGGAUUAUUGGUUCAUAGGUCAUAACAUUGCUAAAAGUACAUAUAUGUUAAAUGUACUAAAUGAAAUUAAAACGGAGAAAAGUAAUGUCUUAGCUUCAUUUGUUAAGGAUUUUCAAAUUGUUUAAAUGAUAAAAAUUCAAAAGGUGAUACUAAAAAUCUCUUAAAUGGUUUGGGGUUUGUUUUACACAUCAAUGUCUAAAGUAAUACAUAUUCAUAAAUUAUUUUGCCACCUGCAUGAGGUUCUGAGUUGAAAACAUGUUUUUCCCUAACUCCAAAUUAUUUAAUAUCAGAACUUGAACUUAUGUACCCAUUUUAACUACUAAACUGGGAACACCAAGUAUAUAGUACUUCUCAUAAAUAAAUAAACACACAAGUAAACCAAGUGUUAUUUUCGAAUGGAUGUAUUGAUUAUGGAUAUGUAAUGUAUUAAUGUCUAUAUAAUCCAAAGAUUACAUUUUUAAAUUAUAAAUAAAUAUGCAC
rnacentral:lncRNA from 1 species